GCAUCGGUCUAGCUCUGCUGUCGCAUGUUCCACCUUUUGGCAAAUGGAGAGGAAGAAAAGGAAUCACCUGUAGUACUGGAAUAUGUGAUACAUAUGUUGGCUGUAAUUCCAUCUUCAGGAAGUCAUCCAGCCCUUCACUGUUGAAUCAGCCAACAUCCGGUCCACACUGAGGUGCAGGGUAUACAGACGUUCUACUGCGUCUAAAACCGCAGCACCAGGAAAAUUACAUCUGGUUCGUCCUGCACCUGGGCUCAUUGGUAUUGUACCAUCGCACUUCAAUAUAUCUAGUACUUGUUGUGGUAUUAAUGCUGUCCCUGUAAAAUAUAAUAAGUUCAUGUCACAUUUCACUUCACUGCAUAAUACAUUUUCAUGAUCUUGGGUUCCCAGUUUAAACAAGUUAUUUAUUAAAAUGACCUGUCAUGCAAAAUAUCAAUAUCUACUUAACCUAGGUGCAAAUUAUUUAUUCUGAAAACUGGGUAAAUCCUAUUAUGGAUUAAAUAGUAACAAAUAACACUUCAUGCAUGCAUAGUGAAAGAAAUUUAAUGCAAAUUGAUUCACCAAGCAUAUGCAGGUACUAAAUGCAACACUGCAAUUGGAACAAUAGCCAAUUUACAAGUAAUACAACUAAAUGAAUGAUGUGAACUAUCAGUGAGUGAAAUCUGUAUACCAAUUACACUGUCCAUACAUUUACAUUAAUAAUUUGCAAUGAGGUAUGAA